rnacentral:lncRNA from 1 species
AACCACCUUCUCUUCUUUAAACGUGCAGAUUUCCUCCGCAGAGGCCAGCAGUUACGGGCACGGUUUGAAGCAGCAGAGUGCAGGCACGGCCUCCCUGUCUGUCAAAGGGGCUUCCCGAGGACACUCAGUGAGGACGUCAGAUCAUCACGUGGAGUAUCGGUGGCCUUAUUAAAACAAAAACAGCAACUCCACAGUCUGGUGAGCUGUAUGUGUGCCCAAGUACACAGGGUGCACAGCAUGAUGAUUUAAUGUCUGUCUACACUGUGAAAUGACCACCACAACCAAGCCGAGUACAUCCAUCACUCAGGCAGUCACCGUGGUACGAGUGUGGUGAGACGGCUUUGAUCUGGCUCUUAGCAACUUCCGACGCUCCUGGUACCUGCAGUCACCGCGCCGCACCCAGGCUUCUGUGCGUGUUCAUCCCACAGCUGCAGGUUUGGACCCUUUGACCGAUGCCUUUUCUUUUCCCCUGGGAAUCACCGUUUGGCUCUUAAUGACUGUGAGUUUCUACUUCUUUUUUUAGAGUCCAUGCAUAACGAAGAUCAUGGAGUGUUUGUCUUUCUGUCUAGCUUAUUUCACUUAGCAUAACAUCCUCAAGGUUCAUUCAUGUUAGUGUAAAUGGCAGGACUUCCUUGUUUUUUUUUUUUUUUGAGACGUAGUCUUGCUCUUGUUGCCCAGGCUGGAGUGCAGUGGUAUAAUCUCGGCUCACUGCAACCUUUGGCUCCUGGGUUCAAGUGAUUCUCCUGCCUCAGCCUCCCAAGUAGCUGGGGUUACAGGCGUGUGCCACCUUGCCUAUUUUUUUUUUUUUUUUUGAUAGAGACAAGGUUUCACCAUGUUGGUCAGGCUGGUCUUGAAUACCUGACCUCAAGUGAUCCACCCUCCUCGGCCUCCCAAAUUGUUGGAAUUACAGUCAUGAGCCACCACACCUGGCCAGGACUCCCUUCUUUUUAAAGGCUUGGUUGUAUUCCACUGUGUGUGUAUGUGUCCUGCUUUUUCAAGGCUUGGUCAUAUUCCGCUGUGUGA